rnacentral:rRNA from 1 species
AUUGAACGCUGGCGGCAUGCACANNUGCAAGUCGAACGGCAGCACGGGGCAACCUGGUGGCGAGUGGCGAACGGGUGAGUAAUAUAUCGGAACGUACCCUGGAGUGGGGGAUAACGUAGCGAAAGUUACGCUAAUACCGCAUACGAUCUAAGGAUGAAAGCAGGGGACCGCAAGGCCUUGUGCUCCUGGAGCGGCCGAUAUCUGAUUAGCUAGUUGGUGGGGUAAAGGCCUACCAAGGCAUCGAUCAGUAGCUGGUCUGAGAGGACGACCAGCCACACUGGAACUGAGACACGGUCCAGACUCCUACGGGAGGCAGCAGUGGGGAAUUUUGGACAAUGGGCGCAAGCCUGAUCCAGCAAUGCCGCGUGAGUGAAGAAGGCCUUCGGGUUGUAAAGCUCUUUUGUCAGGGAAGAAACGGUGAGAGCUAAUAUCUCUUGCUAAUGACGGUACCUGAAGAAUAAGCACCGGCUAACUACGUGCCAGCAGCCGCGGUAAUACGUAGGGUGCAAGCGUUAAUCGGAAUUACUGGGCGUAAAGCGUGCGCAGGCGGUUUUGUAAGUUUGUCGUGAAAUCCCCGGGCUCAACCUGGGAAUGGCGAUGAAGACUGCAAGGCUAGAAUCUGGCAGAGGGGGGUAGAAUUCCACGUGUAGCAGUGAAAUGCGUAGAGAUGUGGAGGAACACCGAUGGCGAAGGCAGCCCCCUGGGUCAAGAUUGAUGCUCAUGCACGAAAGCGUGGGGAGCAAACAGGAUUAGAUACCCUGGUAGUCCACGCCCUAAACGAUGUCUACUAGUUGUCGGGUUUUAAUUAACUUGGUAACGCAGCUAACGCGUGAAGUAGACCGCCUGGGGAGKANGGUCGCAAGAUUA